AAUUAACGCUGGCGGCAUGCCUAACACAUGCAAGUCGUACGAGAAAGCCCGGUUCGCCGGGCGAGUAAAGUGGCGCACGGGUGAGUAACGCGUGGAUAAUCUACCUCUUUCUGGGGGAUAACGCACCGAAAGGUGCGCUAAUACCGCAUAACCCGGCGAAAUUUCGGUUUUGUCGGUAAAGGUGGCCUCUUCAUGAAAGCUACCGGGAAGGGAUGAGUCCGCGUCCCAUUAGCUUGUUGGUAGGGUAAUGGCCUACCAAGGCGACGAUGGGUGGCGGGUAUGAGAGGACGAUCAGCCACACGGAGAGUGGAACCCGGUCCAGACGCCUACGGGAGGCAGCAGUGAGGACUAUUGCGCAAUGGGGGAAACCCUGACGCAGCGAUGCCGCGUGGGUGAAGAAGGCCUUCGGGUCGUAAAGCCCUGUCAAGUGGGAAGAACAGUCUGGGGACGAAUAAUCCCCAGGUGUGACGGUACCACUGAAGGAAGCACCGGUUAACUCCGUGCCAGCCGCCGCCGUAAGAC
rnacentral:rRNA from 1 species